AUUUCAAGAAACCUUUCAAAGGUUCUGGAGGCACUAAGGUUGAAAAACCUGGUUCUAAGUACUAUUGUACUCACUGUGAGGUUCCAGGUCAUAGUGUUGAUAGGUGUUUCAAAAUCCAUGGCUAUCCAACCAAUUUCAAAGGGUUCAAAGAUAAACGAGUUGAUGUUAUAUCUACUCAUAAAGAAACUGUUGCUAUGGAUGUUGAUGAUUCCACAACAAGAAUCCGCCUUUUUAGCGUCUGCAUUUAGCGUCCGACGAUACAAGCGGACGGUAAAUUUAAAAUUAGCGUCCGAUUAAAGACAGAUGCAAAUUAGCGUCCGCUUUUUGAGAUUUAGCGUCCGUUUAAAAAAACGGACGCUAAGUAGCGUCCGUUUAGUUAAAAUACCGUCCGUUAGACGGACGCUAAAUAAGAGGUAUAAAUAAAAAAAAAAAAACCUCCAGUCGACCAAAUUAUCAACCCUAACACACGCCUCUCUCUUCCUCACUCUCAUCUCCCGUUUCUCUCUCUUCCUCACUCUCAUCUCACAUUUUGGUGCUCUCCUUUCUUGUAGAUCUCACGAAAUCAGAUACUGCUGGAGCAAGGAGCCAUUAGCAGCAUCUUUGAGUGCAUGCAGGAUUACCAAGUUACAGGAAUGAUUAUAGUAUUGGGGGUUAUGAGAUUUGCAUUUGAGUUCCAGAUUUGAAGUUGGUUUUGAUCCAAAUACCAGAUACCAGAUUUGAAGUCCGUUUUGGUUCUAGAUUUUUGUUGAGUUUAAAGUGUACAUGUAAUUAUAUGAGAUUUGUAUUAGAUUUUGUUCUAAGUAUACUAGAAUUUAGUUCUAGAAUUAUUUUUUCACUUGUAUCUACAUUUAUUAUUAAUAAUAAUUGAAUUGAUUAA